rnacentral:lncRNA from 1 species
GAUACUGUCUGCAAGGAAAAAUGGAAAGGGCGAAGAGAGUUUUUGAUUCCAUGGUGGCUAAGGGUCAUGAACCUGAUGUUUUCAGUUAUAACAUUUUGAUAAAUGGUUACUGCAAGGCUAAGAGAUUGGAUGAUGCACUGCAACUUUUGGAAGAUAUGAAUUGCAAUGGGUUGAAACCUAACACUGUCACGUACAAUACCCUUAUUGAUGGGCUAUGCAAGGUUGGGAGACUUUCUACUGCACAAGAUCUUUUCAAAGAUAUGCAAGGUCAUGGGCAGAAUCCAAAUAUUGUCACUUAUGGAGGUUUAAUCAAUGGGUUGUUUGAUAAUGGUUGUUAUUCUGAAGCUAUGGAAUUAUUUUGUAUGACAGAAAAAAACAGAUUAAAACCCGAUGGUGUGAUUUACGAUAUCGUCAUUUACAAUAUGUGCAAAGCAGGGAAACUUAAUGAGGCAAAGGAACUAUUUUACAGCCUACCUACUAAAGACUUGCAGCCUACUGCUAGGAUAUAUACUACGAUGAUCCUUGGCUUUUGCGAAAAUGGGAGGCUGAAUGAUGCUGAAAAUUUGUUUGCAGAGAUGGAGCAGAAAGGUAUCCCUCCAGAUGAUCAUACAUUCAAUAUCAUGCUUCAAGCAUUCCUCAAGAAAAAUGAUAUUCAAAACGCAGUGCAGUUUUUGAAUUUAAUGGAUGAGAGAGGAAUCUUGUGUCAUGCAGAAACCAUGUCUAUCAUAAUUAGUAUGCUUGCAGCAGAUGACCCAAAUAAUGAGAAUAUAGAUAUACUUCGUAACUACUUUUUGAAGUAAUAAGUUAAGGCUGUGAUUCCAUAUUUGGGCAAUGAAUACUUGUACUGAGUUUGCCUUUAAAGUAAACACUAACUCACUAAGAUACUGAAUAAUUAAACUAUAUAAUGAGUGUGUAUGUUUUUCUUGUAUUGGACAAGACUCCUGCAUUUACAAAAUCUUCAACUUUCACAAAUGUGGCCCCUUCAUGGGAUACAAGCUUGUUUAGUUUUGCCAGUUUUACUGAUCCAGGGAGAAAGGUAUGGAUUUUAUAUUUUCAUCAUGGUUUAUUUUGCUAAGCUUUUGCUUAUGCUGUUUUCCAAUGAUCUAGUUUAAAAGUUAUUUUUAUGUUGAGAUAUUUUCCUCCAGAUGAUCAUACGAGCAUUCCUUGUGAGAAGCAAUAUUCACCAGGCACUAUAAUGGCUGAGUUUAAUGGAGGAGAGAGCCAUCUUACGUAAUGCAGAAACCCUCUCUAUUAUAGUGCAUAUGCUUGCGGAAGAUUACCCAAAUCAUGAGAGUAGAGAUAAAUUCCGUAUCUACUUUUUGAAUUAAAGUGGUGUGUUCUUAUUUCGCCAGUAGCCCAGUAGAUAUGAGAUUUGUUCAAAAUUGUAUGUUAAACUGUAAAACUGCAUGUUUUAGUUAUGAGGCUCCCAUGCUUGAAUCUCUUGUUGUAAGGUUAUGAACAAGCCUUUUGUUGUUUGAUAUGGAUUUUAGCCUAGUACCUUUUUUCAACUUCUUUUGUUAGUAUGUUGUAGAUUUAUCUUCUUUCCUCUUUUUUGGUUCCGAUGGGCAGUGCUUAGUUGCUUGCAGAUCAGAUGGGUUGUGGACCAGAUGAUAAAUGUGAUUUUAAGUUACAACUUUGUGAUACUCAACCAAGUGUACUGUUGCUAGAUCCAUCUAGGAUUUUGAAAUAUUAAGAAGGAAGUAUGUCAUAUGUUAUUGCUUUGCAGGAUCUGGUUGUUUCUGAUGAAGAUGAUCAGAUGGGAUGGAGAGAAUUGAUACCUUUUGCACCUAUGGUCAUUUGGAAUCUGAAAAUCCCAUUGAAGAUUAGAAUUUUUAUGUGGUGUGUUUCUUGGAGUAGGCUGCAGACUCUGGACAAGUUGCAGAGUUUUGAGGUAGUUGCUGAUGUGAAGUGUGUGUGGUGUUUAACGGGGAUGGAAACUAUAGAUCACUUGUUUUUUGAUUGUCCUGUUAUUUAUGAUGUCUGGAGAAGUCUGGCACGAAGUAAAAGGAUGGAGGUUAGUUUACUGCUACAGGGACAUGCUAUGGUGGAUGUUAUUAAGGAUUGGCCACAAGAGAACACUGGUUUGUUGGGGAGGAACUUGUGGAAACUGUUACCUGCAGCUGUAGUUUGGUCAAUUUGGAAAGCGCGGAAUGAGAUUAUCUUCGACAAGGUGAAACCAAACUCUCAGAAUAUGAUCAUGCAAAUCAAGGGUGUUAUCUGGUAUUGGUUGUGGGGAGCUUCUGAGCGCAAGCAUCACUUCUUUGAUGAACUGCUAGUCAGCUGGGAACCUCUUUUAGGACACUGAUUUCUGGUUUUUUCUAUGGAUCUUUCUGUUUUUAUUUCUUAUUAUUAUUUGGUGAGUGAUUGUCUCACCAUUUCACAUUUGGCUCUGUAUUUCUUUGGAUCAAUAAAUGUAGUUUUACAUAGCCAAAAUAAUAUUAAAAAAAUUACUCUGGAUAUUAGGGCUUGUUUGUUUUCUUACUCAGUGAAGAUAUAAUUUCUUUCCAAAUAUAAACAAAGUGAGAUUACACAAUAGCUUCUUUGUUUAUGUUUGGGAAAAUUGGCGAUAACCCCCUAUAUUAUGGUCACUCUUGGCAAGAACCCCCUCAUUUGUCCAACCUGGACAUAAGCAACACGAAUGUCCAAAACGAGACAAGUCUAGAGUUAACUUUAUUGAUCAUGAUGAAAACGAUUGCGAUGAUGACUAUGAUAAAGAUUACUAUGAUAACUGUGAACCUAGUAAUGAGAUUCAAUAUGAAGUGGAUGCUCCAUUUUUGGGUGUUAUUCGUAGGCUUCUUUAUGCUCUUUCUCAACCGGUGAAUUCUUAACGAAAAAAGAUCUUUCAGACUUGCUGUCAAGUUAAGGAUAAGGUUGUUAAUUUGAUUAUUGAUGGUGGUUCCCAUGAUAAUUAUGUUUCCACUUAUAUGGUGACUAGGUUGGAUCUACCAGUGACUUAACAUCCUAAGUCUUAUUCUGUUGGUUGGGUUAAGGAUGGUCACUCACUCAUGGUGACUACUCAAUGUCGUGUUCCAUUUUCUCUUGGUAAGUAUCAUUAUGAGGUUCUUUGUGAUGUUCUUGAUAUGGAUGCUAGCCAUUUGUUACUCGGUCGACCUUGGCAAUGGGAUCGUCGUGCUAUGUAUGAUUGUUAUGCCAAUACAUUUACCUUUAAGAAAGAUGGUGAAAAACAUACUUUGGGUUCUAUGCGUCUAAAACCGGCCUGUUCAUGAAGUUUUUAAAGUCGAAGAGUGAACUUGUUUGAUUUCUAAGGACCAUGAAGAGGAUUUCAAAAAGACUAACACAAUCUAUGCUCUUGUACUUAGGGAAGAAAAUAGAGAAGAAUCAAAAAUUCCUAUAGUUGUCCAACCUUUAUUGGAUGAAUUUAAAACUAUCAUACCCACCGAUCUACCUUCAUCAUUGCCUCCAAUGCGUGAUAUUCAACAUCACAUUGAUUUGAUGCCUGGUUCAAGUCUUCCCAAUCUUCCCCACUAUCAUAUAUCACCUAAAGAACAUGAAGAGCUUCGACGCCAAGUUAAUGAUUUACUAGAGAAAAGUCUUAUUCGCCCUAGUAUGAGUCCUUGUGCAGUACCUGCUUUGCUUGUGCCAAAGAAAGAUGGUUCUUGGCGUAUGUGUGUUGAUAGUCGUGCAAUCAACCAAAUUACCAUUCGCUACAGGUUUUCUAUUCCUCGCUUGGAUGGUAUGUUUGAUAUGCUUAUUGGUUCUAAAAUGUUCUCUAAGAUUGAUUUAAAGAGUGGUUAUCAUCAAAUCCGCAUACGGCCAGGAGAUGAAUGGAAAACUGCUUUCAAGACAAAAGAUGGUCUUUAUGAAUGGAUGGUAAUGCCUUUUGGUUUGUCAAAUGCCCCAAGUACAUUUAUGCGUUUGAUGACUAAAGUGUUGCAGCCUCUCAUUGAGAAGUUCGUUGUCGUAUAUUUUGAUGACAUAUUGAUUUAUAGUCAGAAUGAGCAACAACACAUGUGUCAUCUUUGGGAAGUCUUCAAGGUUCUCUAUGAUAAGUCGCUUCUCAUCAACAUCAAGAAGUGUGAUUUCAUGAUAGACCGCAUUCUUUUUCUUGGCUACAUUGUAAGUGUUUCAUGUAUACAUUUUGAUGAAGAGAAGGUGAAAGCAAUACGAGAAUGGCCUACACCUCGUACGAUUCAUGAUGUUCGUUCUUUCCAUGGUUUGGCUAUUUUCUACCGAUAUUUUGUCAAGAGUUUCAGCUCUAUUGCAGCUCCAUUGACACAUUGUAUGCAAGGUACGAAAUUUGAAUGGACUGAAGAAGCCGACAAAAGUUUUAACUUACUUAGAGACAAGCUUUUUACAGCCCCGGUUCUCGCUCUACCUGAUUUUUCCAAGAUUUUUGAAGUAGAUUGUGAUGCUUCCAUCAUGGGUAUUGGCGUUGUUCUUUCUCAAGAAGGUAAGUCUCUUGCAUUUUUUAGUGAGAAACUUAGUGAUGCUCGAAAGAAAUGGUCUACUUAUCAAUUGGAACUCUUUGUGUUGGUUCAAACAUUGCGUCAUUGGCAUCAUUAUUUGAUUCAUCGGGAAUUUAUUCUCUACACUGACCACCAAGCUUUGCAAUUCCUUCAAAGCAAUUCCAAGAUAAAUCGAAUGCAUGACAGAUGAAAAGACACAAUUGACAAAUACACUUUUGUGAUGAAGCGCAAAUCAGGUCAACAAAACAAAGUAGCUGAUGCCCUCAGUCGAAGAGCUUCUUUACUCGUUACAGUCAACACCGAUAUUGUUGGGUUUGAUUAUUUCAAGGAUUUAUAUGAUGAUGAUCCUGAUUUUUCGGAUAUGUGGAUUAAAUGCUCUCAAAAUCAAUCUGGUACAGAUGAUAUCCUUAUUUAGGAUGGUUUUCUUUUCAAAGAAAAUCACUUGUGCAUUCCUCAAGGCUCCCUUAGAGAACAUAUCAUUCGUAAAAUGCAUGCUGGAGGUCUCACAGGUCACAUGGGUCGUGACAAGACUAUUGCUUUGAUUGAAGAAAAACAUUAUUGGCCAUCCCUAAAAAGAGAUGUUGGUAAUCUCAUUCAGCGGUGUUAUACUUGUCAAACCGUAAAAAGUCAAUCUUAAAAUACUGGCUUGUACACACACCAUUACCGGUUCCAGAUGCACCAUGGAUUGAUGUUUCUAUGGAUUUUAUCGUGGGUCUCCCUCAGACUCAAAAGAGGUGUUGGAUUUUAUCUUGGGUCCCCUAGUUGCCUGUACCCUCACCCCCACCAUCGUUAUAAAAAUUGAGGAAUUGACGAAGUUGCCCCUAUUUCUUCAUUAAAACUCAUCUCCAUCUUCUUCAACUUCAAACCUCAUUUUCAUCUUCUUCAAUGGCAUUGGCUAUGUUAAGAAAGGUUAGUAGUAGUGGUAGCACGCUUUCUUCUCUUUCUUCUUCUUCUUCUUGUUGUUCUGUUUUUCUACUUUGUUAUCGUUCCAUCGCUACAAACCAACAAAACCCCACUAUUAAUACUACUACAACAUCAUCAUCUUCAUCUUCAUCUUCUUGUUUGGAGAAAUUAGUGAGAGAUAGAUGUAAAUCUGGUGAUCUUGGUAUUGAUGAAGCUUUAGAUUUGUUCCAUCGUUUGAUUCGAAUGCAACCAAUACCUUCCAUAUUCCCUUUCAACCAAUUGUUAGGAGUCAUUAUGAAAAUGAAGAAACACUAUUCCUAUGAUGAUUCCACUGUGGUUGUGGUGGUUUCUUUAAUAAAAUUGAUAAAUUCAGCUGGGAUUCAACAAGAUUUAUCUACUUUUAGCAUUAUGAUCAAUUGUUAUUGCCAAUUAGGUCGUGCGGAUACAGAGGGUUUUGCUGUAUUUGGACAAUUUUUGAAACUUGGCUUUCACCCAAAUGUUGUUACUUUCACUACUCUUCUCAAGGGUCUUUUUCUCCAGGGUAAAAAGAUACAAGCUUUGAAACUCUUUCAAAAAAUGGUGGAGUAUCAGUAUCCAUGUGAUUCAGUCACUCAUGGAGUUGUUAUCGACGGUCUUUGCAAAGCUAAAGACUCCAAUGCUGCCCUUACGUUAUUGAGAUUAAUGGAAAAGAAAAAGAUUGAGAUAGAUCUUCACAUGUAUAGUAUGAUUAUUGACGGUCUCUGCAAGGAAGAUCAGGUUCACAAAGCUUUAAGUCUCUUCCGAGAAAUGAUUGAUAGCAAGAGAUUUGUACCAAAUAUCGUUACCUACAACACGUUGAUUCAUGGACUAUGCCGCAUUGAUCAGGUAAAUUCAGCCCUACGUUUGUUAAAAGAGAUGAUGGAAAAAAGAAUCAUGCCAAAUGUGAUAACAUUCAACAUUUUGGUUGAUGCUCUAUGCAAAGAUAGCAAGACCGGCGAAGCAUUCAAGUUGUUGGAGUUAAUGCAACAAAGUGGUGUAGAACCAGAUGUUAUCACAUAUAACUCUUUGAUUUAUGGUCUAUGCAUAUCCGAUCAGUUGAAUAAAGCGAUUACAUUAUUCAAGGAUAUGAUCACCCAAGGGGUGAUGCUAAAUGCACACAUAUAUACUACAUUAGUAGAUGCCAUUUGCAAGAAAGGUAUGGUAGAGCAAGCACAGGAGCUACUAGAGACAAUGAUUAUGAGAGGCGCAAAGCCCAAUACAUAUACUUACAAUGCACUCAUAGAUGGAUAUUGUUUGCAAGGCAAAGUGGAAAGGGCGAAGAGAGUUUUUGAUUCCAUGGUGGCUAAGGGUCAUGAACCUGAUGUUUUCAGUUAUAACAUUUUGAUAAAUGGUUACUGCAAGGCUAAAAGAUUGGAUGAUGCACUGCAACUUUUGGAAGAUAUGAAUUGCAAUGGGUUGAAACCUGACACUGUCACGUACACUACCCUUAUUGAUGGGCUAUGCAAGGUUGGGAGACUUUCUACUGCACAAGAGCUUUUCAAAGAUAUGCAAGGUCAUGGGCAGAAUCCAAAUAUUGUCACUUAUGCAGGUUUAAUCAAUGGGUUGUUUGAUAAUGGUUGCUUUUCCGAAGCUAUGGAAUUAUUUUGUAUGAUAGAAAAGAAUGGAGUAAAAGCCAAUGUUCUGAUUUAUGACAUCGUCAUUUGCAAUAUGUGCAAAGCGGGGAAACUAAAUGAGGCAAAGGAACUAUUUUACAGCCUACCUACUAAAGACUUGCAGCCUACUGCUAGGAUAUAUACUACGAUGAUCCUUGGCUUUUGCAAAAAUGGGAGGCUGAAUGAUGCUGAAAAUUUGUUUGCAGAGAUGGAGCAGAAAGGUA